ensembl:lncRNA
UCCUUUUGCAGGCUUGCUGACAUUUAUAUACCAUUCUAAAUAUCACUGAAGCAUUGCUGGGAGAGAGGAAAUGUGGAAUGAAUGACACAGACUUGCAAGCAGCAAAGGGAAGAAGGUGGUGCUGAGUUUGAUUGUAGUAACUGUGCCAACACCCCCAAGGAACACAGCCUCCUACAGACACCGUGCCUUUUCCAGGUGAUGAAAUGAACUUCUUUAGCUUUAACCCUAAGUAAACGAUGGCCCAGCUCAUAAAACAUCCUGGAGCGCAGAACUGUUUACAGACUUUUAUUUGUCUUGAGCUUCGUGCUUUGUAAGAUUGGAGGUGAUUUCAUUACCUGGCUUUGUGCAAUGUCAUUCUGGCAACUGGAUCAUAAGUGCCACAUGGAUGUUUACAGUCAUGGGGAAAUACAUUAUGGCCAGAAAGGACGGCUGCAGAUUAAUAGAAAUAUUCUUCUGGAAUACCCGAGGGCCAAUCCUGAGGAUCGAUCCUCUCUUGCUUCUUCUUAAUCUGAAUUCUACUUUGCUCUUAGCUGGAGCUGGAGAGAACCUCCCCUGCCCCUGGUGCUGCUUAGGGCAGGACCAAGCCGUCCCCUCCCUGUAAAGGGGCAUUGGAAUGGGGGAACAUUUAUUUCCCCCUGGAAUUAUUGCCCCUGCUUCAUGGUGGAUGGGAGCAGCAGUGAGGCACACCCAGCUUGGGUGUCACAUGAAACGGAGCUUGGUCAGCUUCCAGGAGUGGAAUUCAGCCUUUUCUUUUCCAAGAAAGGAUGCAAGCAAUUUGUCUUUAGAAUACUAUAAAGACGCCUCAAGAAUAUCAUAUAGUCUGCUAGUGCUGCAGAGAACCUCUUAAAAACUUAAUUGCCUGUGUCACCAAAUGAGGAGAGAGCAGUCCCUUGAAAGAUCCAGUGUUUUGAAAACAAGCAGUCAGUUCUAAAUACUUUCAAAUGGUACAUGCUUCUUUACUCCUGCUGACAAUAAGAGUAAUUGCUGAGCACAGGAUAAAGGAGAUUGUCUAAAAUGUUUUAUUUUCUUGUUGCAUCCUUUUUUUUUUUUUCCUACAAUGCAAAAAGACAGAGGCGUCCUUGGGCUGCAACCAGUCAGACAGAGAGGUUUCCAAGAGGCAGGUGAGAGGUAGAGAUCUCAACAGCAAAGUGACUCUCCUGGUUUGAGAGCACCUCCGCUCUCACCACUCGUGCUGUGAGUGCUGCCUGCAGGGAUGACAGAUCAGGACGUUUCCUCCCAUCAUUUACUCACUGCACUGCCUCACUAACAUCUCUAUUAAUUCUGGGAUACAGAAGACCUCGAGCAUCUCCGUUUGCUCACUCACCUCUGACUUUUACUGUGGCCAUAGUGUUCAGUGUGCGUGGUUCCAUCACCCGGCCUGCUCAGAGCUGAUGUCAGUGUCUGCCAUCACUCUGUUUGCCCAUUAAGGACUUGUUGGCUCCCUGCAUUUUCCUGUGUGGCCCACGGUGCAGCGUAGUGCACUGGAAAGCAAUAUCCAUUCUAACGUGAUGUGACAUGGGAAACCUCAGAGGAAGCACAGGCUUAUGCUGGCUGUGCUGCUGCACAGUCAAUAGUCCUCCUUUAUGCCUGCCAUUAAAGCAGGAGCAAACAGUUAUGAUCUAUGGCUUGACUUUUUAUCUAUUUAUCUUUUUAUCUUUUUACCUUUUGAUCUAUAGCUUCUUUUUAUUUAUGCAAUCACCACGUUUUGUUUUGGGUUGUUAUUUUUUGUUGUUGUUUUUCCUUGGUAAGCAAGUAGAUAUGCAAAGCACAGCAGAUGUCCCGAACUUGAAGAGCCAAGGGAACAUUUCUUCUUGGCCCUUAGAUGAAAUGGACUGGGCUGUGCUCCAGGAAAUAGGAAUGAUUAAUCCAUCAUUGAACAUGAACUUAAACGAGCUAAUAUUGGGCAUUUUAGUUCUGAUGUAUGCGCUAAGUGAAAGAAUCAUUCAGAGGAUAAAAGUAAUGGCUUUGGGACGGUGUUGUAAGACAGAGCGGCUCUGCAGGAGCAGGAGGGUGAGAGCAGCAGGGCUGAGUGCACGCUACUAUGCUUCCUGAGUGCAGGAAUGGGAACUGCUGCAUGACCCCAACAGUCUGCAGUGUGGGUUCAGUGCUGUGACACACACUGCCUGCUCCAGCCCCAGCUCGGUGGCUUUAGGCUUAGGAUGUGCUCCAGCUGCCAGGCAUACAGCCAAUUGCCCAGGAGGCAACUGCAUUGCCCGUGGAUGCAGUGAUAUGACCAAGUUCACCCAAAGUCUGUGUCAGAGAAAGGAGCUGAGCCCAGGGCUCAUGCAGCAGGGACCAACCAUCACAGCAUGGGGCCUGGAUGCACUUCAUGGAAAAGGAUAUAGUGGUUGAAAAAGGGCCCAGUGUAAAUCCUGCCCUGCCUCUGCCAGUGCUGAGAUCAGCAGGUUUUAAGUCUAAUUCCAGCAGAAGAUUUCUGCCUGUGCCAGAUGUGGUUUUCAGAUGCUGCACUGUGGCUUUGCUGCAUUCCUGGCCCACUGCAGCCAAACAGACCCCUGGAGCCUUGCCAGAGAGGGAGAAGGUAAGCAAGAUCCCAAGGUGCCCCUCUCAACUGGAUGAUGCAUUUCAGCUUUGCUUCCAAGCCUUCCAGAAGGCACCAGCCCCUCUGCCCAGGUGUUAUUCUUGGGCACUCUCAAAAUAGCUGCCUUUGCCUGGGAAUCAGAGAGGAGAGCUCAGUGAGUCCCCCUGAAUCUCCAGCUGCAGUAAUAUGUUGUUAUGAACCUCUACCAGAGCACUCAUAGUGCAGCUGGAGAGUCUGUCUGACAUUGCCUCCAGUGACCUUUUCGCUAUAGUCCAAGUGCUGUGGAGCUGGUGUUUCAAGAGGAAUUCAAAUGGAAUUUACUCAGGCAGAAAGGAUUGGCCUGGGGAUAGCCCUUCUACAGCUUCUGGUUCUCCUUGUCAUUCUCAUGGAAAUUGCAAUUCUUUAUGCAUGGUGCUUCUUCCUGCACCGCAGCAAAUGCGUCCCUUCAAGCAGCAGGCUGCUAACAGAGGGGCUCCAAAAUGAAGGCAUAACCCAUUACAAGGUCACAACGUGGCCGUGAGCCCUGACACCAAAACUAGUUGGUGGGCAUCAGGCACCCGCCUCGAGUUCCAGGAUGCAGCUUGUUUACGUGGGAUGCGAGCAGCAGGG